rnacentral:misc_RNA from 1 species
GAUGAAGAACGUAGCGAAAUGCGAUAAGUAAUGUGAAUUGCAGAAUUCAGUGAAUCAUCGAAUCUUUGAACGCACAUUGCGCCCGCCAGUACUCUGGCGGGCAUGCCUGUUCGAGCGUCAUCUCACCCCUCGGCUAACCCCCCUAAACCCCUCGCGGGCUCGGGGGGGCACGCCGGUGUUGGGGCCCGGGGAGGCCUUCGCCCAAGGGCGUUGAUCCCACCCCGUCCCCUAAAUCCUAGGCGGACCGGUCGUUGACUUCCCUGCGUAGUACUAUUCAGCGCAGUCGCGGAGCCUCAGCCGGCCCAAUUGCCUCUAAACCGCCCGACCAACGUACAUGUUGACCUCGAAUCAGGUAGGAAUACCCGCUGAACUUAAGCAUAUCAAUAAGCGGAGGA